rnacentral:rRNA from 1 species
CAGCAGUCGCCACGGUAAUACAGAGGGUGCGAGCGUUAAUCGGAUUUACUGGGCGUAAAGCGUGCGUAGGCGGCUUUUUAAGUCGGAUGUGAAAUCCCUGAGCUUAACUUAGGAAUUGCAUUCGAUACUGGGAAGCUAGAGUAUGGGAGAGGAUGGUAGAAUUCCAGGUGUAGCGGUGAAAUGCGUAGAGAUCUGGAGGAAUACCGAUGGCGAAGGCAGCCAUCUGGCCUAAUACUGACGCUGAGGUACGAAAGCAUGGGGAGCAAACAGGAUUAGAUACCCCAGUAGUCCCUGUCUCUUAUAC